CUUAGCAAUAUGUGAAUUCCCUCCCUUUACUUGUGUCAUGUAUGUUGUAUCUGUUUGUUUGUUUGUAUGCACUUUAUCUAAGAGCAUGCCACUGUAGCACAAACAUCUAAUUGUUCCUCAUAUACCCAGGAUUCCGAAAACAUUUGCACAUAAAAGGAACUUGAAACUCAGAAGUAGCUGUCUUCUGGAAACUUUCCUACAAAGACAGGAUCUGUGAGAAACUGAUGAUACAGAACCAGUGAGAUAUUAAGAAAGAAGUUGUGAACAGCUCAGCAGGGACUGGGAAUCAGAGUCUUUAGAAGGGUGUUUAACAUGUAAAAAUGUAACAAGUCCUUACAUUUAUAUGGAUAAAAUAUGAUUAUCCAACUGUCAGGUUCAAGAGAUGCCCACUUUCCACCAUUUUUGUCUGGAAUUCCUCAUUGACCCAGAAGUGACAUCAAGGCAGAAAACCUUCUUUUCAACCUCGACUCCCUAGACAUCAAAUUGAUUGACUUCGGCUGUGGCAAAUUGCGGCAGGACACGUCCUAAGUGGAAAAUGCAGAAACUACAGAUUUUGGCCUCCAGAAUGGAUCCUGCUACAAGAGUCUUUUGCCAACCAUGAUACUGUCUGGAGUCUUGACAUCCUCCUCUUUAGUCUUGUCUGCAAAAAAAAGGAAUGAAAAGAAAAUUGUUGCUGAGACCCUCAUUUUCAAGGCUGGCCUGUCUGAAUGUAACACUACAAGAGCAUCAGGUUAAAAUAUUACAAGAAAUCUGAGAAAAAUUCUAAGUUGUAUGAAAUGUUACAAGCACAAGUAAAGCAAAGUUAAAGAUAAAGUGGUGUUUGGAACAGAACCCUACCAAACAGCCAAGCCUCAAACAGAUCAGUGUACAUGAGUGGUUCACAAAAGGCCUUUCACGUCAGCCAGGCCAAACAUUUGACCUAAUUAAAAUGAACCAACACUAAACAUAACACUGAUCACAUGGAUAGUACUGGAACACUUCUGUAUUCUCCAAAAUUAAAGACUUCUGUAAUUUAAUUUCCAUGAAAGAAACAUGAAAUGAUCAAGAAAUCAAACAAGAAAACUAGAAUAUUCUAUAUUCUUUUUUUUUUGAACAUUGUUUUUUUGUUAUUCCACAGACAGUGAAUAGUCAGGGUUGGAUUAGCACAUAGAACCACAACCAAUGUUUGACGGAAAAUAACUUCUGAACAGUGUGAGUGACUGGCUGCUGUUUGCUUUUAUACAAUAUCAUCAUAUUUAUGAUCUUCUGCAUGAAACCGUCUGCAUUUAUGACUGACCUUCUGCUGCUCUGUAUGAACACAUGAAUAGCUUAACAAUUUGCUCUUCUCAUUAACAGUUGCUCAAAUCUCACAUGAUGCUUCAGUGGAUGAUCUUAUCUCAAUGAUUUAGAGAGAUAAAAGACUGGAUGAACUGCAAUUUUUUGUUAAACUCCGAUAAGACAGAAUUACUACUUAUAGGUGCAAAAACCAGUACACAGAAACUCUCACAAUUUAACUUCCAU